CUGAAAAGCAAUAAGCUGCUUUUAAAAUGGUAUUCUAUUACAUUCUCAAAAGCCUUCAAAGAUAAACGAGUCGGCCUAACAGAUACAACAGUUUCUGGCAACAUAAAUGAUUUUGUAAGAUUUAAAUGGACGAAAACCACAAACUCAAAAAUCAGCACGAAAAGUCGAAUUUUCGUACCAUGCAAUUAAAGGUAGGUUCUAUGACUUCGGUUCAUCAACCCAUGUUGGGUGGUGGAGGUGGUGGGCGCAUUCCUUGGCCUUGCAUCUGUUGUUGACCUGGAAAACCUUGUGGAGGCAUCAUUGGAGGUCUACCCAUGUGUCCACCUGGAGUGAAAUUAGCCAUAGCUCCACCACCAACGGGAGGAGGUGGUGGGGCAGGUAAGUUACCUCCUGGUGGCAUAGGUCUAGGUCCGUUACCCAUAGGGGGAGGGGGUGGAGGCAUUGAUCCAGAUGGUGGGCCUCUGGGUGGAGGAUUUGGAGCUCCACCUCCACCUCCACCACAAGGUCUUCCUCCUGGAGCUCCAAAUCC
rnacentral:misc_RNA from 1 species